AAUUUGGAGAGGUCGUUCUCCAGUGGGGAAGAAGGAAUAACAAAAGGAGCAUUUUUGGAGCAUUUAUUAACAGUAUAGGCUAGGCUUUUUUUCUAUGUAUUUUAUAUGUGUCUAUUCAUUUAAUGCCCUUGAUAAUCCACUGAAAGAGGUGUCAUUAUUAUCAUCCCAUUUUACAGAAGAAGAAACUGAAACAAGAAGAUGAGCAUCUCAGCAUCUCAGAGGUGAAGAAACUGGCCUAGCCACCACGUGGUGGCACUUGCAGCCUGAGUCAGCAGAUCCCCAGGCAAAUGAAGACUCUGAGAUGAAGACAGCUGAGCGCAUGAUGGGGUAGGUCAGCCUCCCUCAUGGAAAUUCUGUGUGCCUGAGGCCCACCCUUCCAGUGCAGAUGGAGGGAUGGGAUGGAAAUGAAUCUAGGGGAACGCAUCCCAGCUGUGAUCCAGCCACCUCUGCGUUUGAAGGCUGGGGGUUAUUCCCUCCUCAUGGUUGCCACGCAUUCUUAUGUUUGCAUGUCAUGCUUGGAACUGCCGCAGCCACUUUGUGACAGCCUGAGAAUGAAUCCAGCGCUAAAAUCAGUCUAGCAAAAGGAGGAGAAACACCUGGGUCUCCAUGAUGUCACUGAGCAAGUGAAUUGACCAGCUGUGAGGUCUGUACUAUUUUUUAGGAAUCUUCAUGGGAGAUAAUACAUAUCUUUAUUUUUAAGUAAUAUAGAGUUAGGGCUUUGGUGAUUUUCAAAUUAAAGUUUCCUGGACUUCCUAUCUGACCUAACCUUAUGAAGUGUCAAGGGUAGCAUCUGUCUUAAAUCAGAUUCUCCAGGACAUAGGCUCUGAGAUGGAGAUUUUCAUGCAAGACGUUCCUCAGGGAGUAGCCUUGAGAUCAACACUUGCUGGGGAGUGAAGGAAAUGGGAUCCAGCAAGAGAGAAGCUGAAUGUGAUGCAGCUGCAACGAAGGCCUCCACUCAUACAGCAGCAAGCUCUGAAGCUGGGAUGGCCCCAAGUCUUGUACUUUCUUGAGACAGCCACAUGGGAGAGUCAUGGGAUGUGGCUUGUCCCCAGGACUGGUGUCCUUAUAAUGAAAGGAAGAGACACUGAGUUCUGUCUCCCAGCCUUGUGAGGACACGUUGAGAUGACUGCAAGCUGGGAAGAGAGCCUUCACCAGGAGCUGAAUUUGCUGGUAGUUUGAUCUUGAACCACAUUGAGAUGACUGCAAGCUGGGAAGAGAGCCUUCACCAGGAGCUGAAUUUGCUGGUACUUUGAUCUUGAACCUCCAGCCUCCAGAAUUGUGACAAAAUAAAUUUCUGUUGUUGAA
rnacentral:lncRNA from 1 species